GAAAGCAUUAAGCAACAUUACUAAUUUUGAAUGCCUUCCCAUCCAUAUAAAGCUCCAAACAUCUAGCUCAUCACUCACUCUUUCAUUUCGACAUAUACAAGUUUAUGUUGAGUCCUAUAAACGAAAAGAUGAAAGUGUUUUCCUAUGUGGGAAAGAUGUUGGAACAACUUUGUAGUCCUUCUCUUUGUCGUUCUACUUGGUUUCAUCUAGGUGGAAACCAACUUCCAAUAAAUUUGUUCUAUUUUCUAUUUAUUUUGUCCAUAGGGUUUUUUAUCCUCCAAUCAAUGGAUGUAAAAACCACCACCACCUUCACCCCUCGUAACAUAGACUUAUUCUUCACCUCUGUCUCAGCAGCCACUGUUUCCAGCAUGUCCACAGUUGAGAUGGAGGUUUUUUCCAACACCCAACUUGUCGUUCUCACAAUUCUUAUGGUUAUCGGUGGUGAGGUGUUCAUUUCAAUGGUAAUUCUCUAUCUUCGUCGGCCUUUUUUAAAAGAAUCUAGUAAUGAUGGUUGUAAAGUAGACCCCCCUAUGUGUUACCUCAACACACAAUCCAUUUGUCUAGAUAAUAUAGAGCUCCAUAAAAUAGUCAUCCGUGAAUCUGGAAGUUCAAAAUCUGACACUUUUAACUGUGAAAUUGUCUCUACAAAUGAUGUCGAUAUGGAGGAUUUAAAGUACAAAUCUUUCAAGUUUUUGGGUCUUGUAGUAUUCUUUUACUUGGUAUUUGUCCAAAUUUUGGGUGUGGUUUCAGUUUUCAUAUAUAUAAAUGUCAUCUCAAGUGCCAAAAAUAUACUUAAGCAGAAGGAUAUAAGGGCACUUACUUUUUCCAUCUUCACUGUAACGUCAACCUUUGUCAACUGUGGGUUUGUUCCAACUAACGAAAACAUGAUGAUCUUUAGAAAAAAUUCUGGUCUAUUGUUAAUCCUCAUCCCUCAAGCUCUAUUUGGUAACACUUUAUACCCUCCAGUUCUGAGACUUACGAUUUGGGCCAUAGGGAUUUUUACCAAAAAAUCUGAAGCUAGGUAUUUGUUAAAGAACUCCAAAGUACUUGGAUAUAAUCAUCUUCUUUCAUACCAAGACUCGUUACUUCUUGCGACUACAGUCUUAGCUUUUAUCAUGUUGCAAUUUAUUUUGUUUUCAUCAAUGGAAUGGAGUUCAGGCUCUUUGAGAGACCUUGAUCUCUACCAAAAACUUGUUGGGAUUUUGUUUGAGACUGUAAAUACAAGGCAUACUGGAGAAUCGAUUGUCGACCUGUCCACCAUCAAUGCUUCCAUAUUGGUAUUGUUCAUCGUGAUGAUGUAUCUUCCACCGUACACCUCAUUUUCAUUAGUAAGGGAAGAGAAUUUCGAACAAAGGAGCAAAAGAAGUAGUACAUUUAUGGAGAAAUUAAUCUUCUCACAACUCACUUAUUUAGUAAUCUUUGUCAUGCUUGUUUGCAUAACUGAGAGGAAACAAAUGAUUCAAGAUCCUCUUAACUUCAAUGUCUUAAACAUUGUUGUUGAAGUCAUAAGUGCGUACGGAAAUGUGGGAUUCUCUACUGGCUAUAGUUGUGAUCGUAGACUGAAACAAGAUGGAGAUUGUGAAAACAAGUGGUACGGGUUCUCGGGAAAAUGGAGUGAUGGGGGUAAACUAAUUUUGAUUGUAGUUAUGAUUUUUGGUAGGCUAAAGAAAUUUAAUAUGAAUGGAGGCAAAGCAUGGAAGCUUUUAUGAUGGUCAGUUGUGACUUCAUGCCUUCCUGAUGGAUGGUGAGCUUGGUACGAGUUGUGCGAUGCUAGUUGAUUUGAAGAAUGAUUGAAAAUUUGGAUUUUUGUUAAAGUGAGGCGCGAGUUAUGUGUGAUAUGUCAUGAGCCACAUCGAUAAGUAGCGACGCAACCCAUAUCUUAAGCACGACAUGAAGCCACAUUUGCACAAAACCUUAAUUUUGGGGCUUUGGGCCUAAUAUAAAGCAACUAACAUGCUAGAUUUCCAUUUAUCACCAGCCUUCACCCUCUGUAUACAAAACCCUAGCCCCUUGUGCCUCUUUAGAGUAAUUUUGGUUUAUCUCAAAUAUCUUUGAAAAAGAAGUAAUCUUGUGGUGCAUGGAGAAAUCAUUUACAUAUGAAGAUUCUAUCUUCUAGUCGCUUUUCAGGCAUUGUACUUGUUGCAUGCUUGACACCCGUUCUAGCACCUCCUUUACCAAAAAGAAUGGCAAGACAAACACCAAUAGUUAUUAUAUGUAAAUGUAACAAUAAAGUAUUCACCAAUUAUAUAAGCAUGGAACAGUUAGAUUUAUAAAAUUAUAAAUUAGAUCAUCAAUAUGUAUUAAACAGA